rnacentral:rRNA from 1 species
AACGAACGCUGGCGGCAGGCUUAACACAUGCAAGUCGAGCGCCCCGCAAGGGGAGCGGCAGACGGGUGAGUAACGCGUGGGAAUCUACCGAGCCCUGCGGAAUAGCUCCGGGAAACUGGAAUUAAUACCGCAUACGCCCUACGGGGAAAGAUUUAUCGGGGUAUGAUGAGCCCGCGUUGGAUUAGCUAGUUGGUGGGGUA